rnacentral:rRNA from 1 species
AUUGAACGCUGGCGGAAUGCUUUACACAUGCAAGUCGAACGGCAGCACGGACUUCGGUCUGGUGGCGAGUGGCGAACGGGUGAGUAAUGUAUCGGAACGUGCCCAGUCGUGGGGGAUAACGUAGUGAAAAUUACGCUAAUACCGCAUACGAUCUAUGGAUGAAAGCGGGGGAUCGCAAGACCUCGCGCGAUUGGAGCGGCCGAUAUCAGAUUAGGUAGUUUGUGGGGUAAAGGCCCACCAAGCCAACGAUCUGUAGCUGGUCUGAGAGGACGACCAGCCAAACUGGAACUGAGACACGGUCCAGACUCCUACGGGAGGCAGCAGUGGGGAAUUUUGGACAAUGGGCGAAAGCCUGAUCCAGCCAUUCCGCGUGCAGGAUGAAGGCCCUCGGGUUGUAAACUGCUUUUGUACAGAACGAAAAGGUUUCUACUAAUACUAGGAGCUCAUGACGGUACUGUAAGAAUAAGCACCGGCUAACUACGUGCCAGCAGCCGCAGUAA